rnacentral:rRNA from 1 species
UGAAUACGAGACGCUAAGGCGUCGAAGUAGUGUAUGUCAUACUUCCAAGAAAAGCUUGCACUGUCAUAAAUAGAAAAUGCCUGUACCAUAACCGACACAGGUGGGUAGGUAGAGUAUACUAAGGGGCGCGAGAUAACUCUCUCUAAGGAACUCGGCAAAAUGACUCCGUAACUUCGGGAGAAGGAGUGCCUUAUUUUUAAGGUUGCAAUAACAAGAUCCAAGCAACUGUUUAUCAAAAACACAGGUCUCCGCUAAGUCGUAAGACGAUUAUGGGGGCUGACGCCUGCCCAGUGCCAGAAGGUUAAAGAAGUUGGUUAGCAUUAGCGAAGCUGAUAACUGAAGCCCUGGUGAACGGCGGCCGUAACAAUAACGGUCCUAAGGUAGCGAAAUUCCUUGUCGGGUAAGUUCCGACCCGCACGAAAGGCGUAAUGAUUUGGAUACUGUCUCGGAGAGGGGCUCGGUGAAAUAGACUUGUCUGUGAAGAUGCGGACUACCUGCACCUGGACAGAAAGACCCUAUGAAGCUUCACUGUAACUUGAAAUUGAAAUUGGACUUUAGUCGCGCAGCAUAGGUGGGAGGCGUUGAUGAGGUUCUUGCGGGAACAUUGGAGCUAUCAGUGAGAUACCACUCUUCUAAUGUUAGAUUUCUAACUUUGAACCAUUAUCUGGUCAGAGAACAGUUUCAGGCGGGCAGUUUGACUGGGGCGGUCGCCUCCCAAAUGGUAACGGAGGCGUACAAAGGUUUCCUCUGAACGGAUAGAAAUCGUAUCUAGAGUGUAAAGGCAUAAGGAAGCUUGACUGUGAGACCUACAAGUCGAGCAGGGACGAAAGGCGGUCUUAGUGAUCUGACGGUACUGAGUGGAAAGGCCGUCACUCAACGGAUAAAAGUUACUCUAAGGAUAACAGGCUGAUCUCCCCCAAGAGUUCACAUCGACGGGGAGGUUUGGCACCUCGAUGUCGGCUCAUCGCAUCCUGGGGCGGUAGUACGUCCCAAGGGUUGGGCUGUUCGCCCAUGAAAGCGGUACGCGAGCUGGGUUCAGAACGUCGUGAGACAGUUCGGUCCAUAUCCGGUGUAGGCGUUAGAAUAUUGAGAGGAGCCUUCUCUAGUACGAGAGGACCGAGAAGGACAUACCUCUGGUGUACCAGUUAUCGUGCCAACGGUAAACGCUGGGUAGCUAUGUAUGGAGUGGAUAACCGCUGAAAGCAUCUAAGUGGGAAGCCCACCUCAAGAUGAGUAUUCUCAU